rnacentral:rRNA from 1 species
UACGAAGGGGGCUAGCGUUGCUCGGAAUCACUGGGCGUAAAGCGCACGUAGGCGGCUUCUUAAGUCAGGGGUGAAAUCCUGGAGCUCAACUCCAGAACUGCCUUUGAUACUGAGGAGCUUGAGUCCGGGAGAGGUGAGUGGAACUGCGAGUGUAGAGGUGAAAUUCGUAGAUAUUCGCAAGAACACCAGUGGCGAAGGCGGCUCACUGGUCCGGUACUGACGCUGAGGUGCGAAAGCGUGGGGAGCAAACAGG